rnacentral:misc_RNA from 1 species
AGCAGCCGCGGUAAUUCCAGCUCCAAUAGCGUAUAUUAAAGUUGUUGCAGUUAAAAGCUCGUAGUUGAAUUUCGGGGUUAGUAGGUUGGUCAUGCCUCUGGUAUGUACUGGUCUCACUGAUUCCUCCUUCCUGAUGAACCUUAAUGCCAUUAAUUUGGUGUUUUGGGGAAUUUGGACUGUUACUUUGAAAAAUUAGAGUGUUUAAAGCAAGCUAACGCUUGAAUACAUUAGCAUGGAAUAAUGAAAUAGGACGUUCGAUCCUAUUUUGUUGGUUUCUAGGAUUGACGUAAUGAUUAAUAGGGAUAGUUGGGGGCAUUAGUAUUCAAUUGUCAGAGGUGAAAUUCUUGGAUUUAUUGAAGACUAACUACUGCGAAAGCAUUUGCCAAGGAUGUUUUCAUUAAUCAAGAACGAAAGUUAGGGGAUCGAAGACGAUCAGAUACCGUCGUAGUCUUAACCAUAAACUAUGCCGACUAGGGAUCGGAUGAUGUUAAUUUUUUAGUGACUCAUUCGGCGCCUUACG